GACGAACGCUGGCGGCGUGCCUAAUACAUGCAAGUCGAACGCAGUGGGGACGGGUGAGUAACACGUGGGUAACCUCCCAUCAGAGGGGAUAACACUUGGAAACAGGUGCUAAACCGAUACUGAUGGAUGGACCCGCGGUGCAUUAGCUAGUUGGUGAGUUAACGGCUCCCCAAGGCCACGAUGCAAAGCCCGCCUGAGAGGGUGAGUGGCACAACUGGGAAUGAGACACGGCCCAGACUCCUACGGGAGGCAGCAGUAGUGAAUCUUCGGCAAUGGACGGAAGUCUGACCGAGCAACGCCGCGUGAGUGAAGAAGGUUUUCGGAUCGUAAAACUCUGGUGUUAGAGAAGCGGUAUCUAACCAGAAAGCCACGGCUAACUACGUGCCAGCAGCCGCGGUAAUAC
rnacentral:rRNA from 1 species